rnacentral:rRNA from 1 species
UGGCUCAGGAUGAACGCUAGCGACAGGCUUAACACAUGCAAGUCGAGGGGCAGCAUAGAAGUAGCAAUACUUGGUGGCGACCGGCGCACGGGUGAGUAACGCGUAUGCAACCUACCUAUCAGGAGGGGAAUAACCCGGCGAAAGUCGGACUAAUACCGCAUAAAACAGGGGCACCGCAUGGUGAUAUUUGUUAAAGAAAUUCGCUGAUAGAUGGGCAUGCGUUCCAUUAGGUAGUUGGUGAGGUAACGGCUCACCAAGCCGACGAUGGAUAGGGGAACUGAGAGGUUGGUCCCCACACUGGUACUGAGACACGGACCAGACUCCUACGGGAGGCAGCAGUGAGGAAUAUUGGUCAAUGGGCGGGAGCCUGAACCAGCCAAGUCGCGUGAAGGAAGAAGGAUCUAUGGUUCGUAAACUUCUUUUGCAGGGGAAUAAAGCGCAGGACGUGUCCUGUUUUGUAUGUACCCUGAGAAUAAGGAUCGGCUAACUCCGUGCCAGCAGCCGC